GACGAACGCUGGCGGCGUGCCUAAUACAUGCAAGUCGAACGAGAGCAACCGGUGCUUGCACUGGUCAAUCUAGUGGCGAACGGGUGAGUAACACGUGGGUAACCUGCCCAUCAGAGGGGGAUAACAUCCGGAAACGGAUGCUAAAACCGCAUAGGUCUUCGAACCGCAUGGUUUGAAGAGGAAAAGAGGCGCAAGCUUCUGCUGAUGGAUGGACCCGCGGUGCAUUAGCUAGUUGGUGAGGUAACGGCUCACCAAGGCCGUGAUGCAUAGCCGACCUGAGAUGGUGAUCGGCCACAUUGGGACUGAGACACGGCCCAAACUCCUACGGGAGGCAGCAGUAGGGAAUCUUCCGCAAUGGACGCAAGUCUGACGGAGCAACGCCGCGUGAGUGAAGAAGGUUUUCGGAUCGUAAAACUCUGUUGUUAGAGAAGAACAAGUGCUAGAGUAACUGUUAGCGCCUUGACGGUAUCUAACCAGAAAGCCACGGCUAACUACGUG
rnacentral:rRNA from 1 species